rnacentral:rRNA from 1 species
GGCCUAAUACAUGCAAGUCGAGGGGUAUGAUUUUGAGUUUACUUGAAAUCAGAGACCGGCGCACGGGUGCGUAACACGUAUGCAACCUACCCUUUACAGGGGGAUAGCUCAGAGAAAUCUGAAUUAAUACCCCAUAGUUACAUUUUGCUGCAUGGUAAGAUGUAUAAAGCUCCGGCGGUAAAGGAUGGGCAUGCGUUACAUUAGCUAGUUGGUGAGGUAAUGGCUCACCAAGGCUACGAUGUAUAGGGGUUCUGAGAGGAUGAUCCCCCACACUGGUACUGAGACACGGACCAGACUCCUACGGGAGGCAGCAGUAGGGAAUAUUGGACAAUGGACGCAAGUCUGAUCCAGCCAUGCCGCGUGCAGGAUGAC